GGGGAAGCCAAAGGGGCAGAACAGACAGUGGGCUGCAGGGCAGAACGAGAGCCAGGGGAGGAGAAAGGGAAUGAACCAAAGUGCAGAGAAGUGAUGGCUUUGAGGGCUUCCAAGGACCAUCAUCAGGGAGAAAAUAAAGAAGUUUUCUCGUGGCAGUGAGGUGUUCUACAGUGAAAAAGAGCUGGGAACCUAGCCUGGAUUUUUCUACCCUAAGGAAGACACAAAACCUCCUGAACCUCCAACCUUGAAGCCUUCCCCCUGCCCCAGCCCGGCUCACAACGCUGCUGCUGUAUGCCCAUGAGGGCUCACUGGGGGCUUCCCCAGGCAGCUCCCGUGCUGCCACCGGUCGGAUGCUUCCCACAAAUGAGAUCUUCCUUCCCUGGUGCAAUGAAUGUUUACCCGCGGUGCUGAUACCAGCUCAGUCUGUCACUGCGGGAUCAAAACCAGAACUGCACAGUCCCUGAUAAAAAGGCCAGAUGUGCCGCUGUAAUUAAUGCAAUUUGCUCAACACCGCAACAAUUAAGUGCAAUGCGAUAGCUCAGUAAUCUUCGGGGCUUGGAAGUGCCAUCCCCAAGGCAUCCCCAGCUGCUCCAGCUUUCCUUUCUGCUCUGCCUUUUUCAUAAAUUUAGAAACAUAAAGGAUUUACUGAGGAACCACAACAUCAAGUAAAGGGAACAGAAAGAACACAACGGGGGGGGGGGUGAGGUGCACCUGAGGUGCUUUGGCACACAAGGCACAUCCACACCCUCAUCAGCAGGUCCUCCAUCAUCAGUCUCUGCUCGGGAUCCACCCAACCUAACCCUUUGCCAUUGAGACCAAGGCUCAUGGGCCCUUCUGCAUGCAGUCCUUUGCUCGGUAACACUGCUCACUCUCAUGUUCUUGCUCCAAAGCCAAGCUCCCAUUUGCCUCCCUCCCUUCACAGACCAGUGUCAUCCGUUGGGGUCAUCACAGCUCUGUUCACAAGCUGUGAAGUGACAGGAUGCAUUUAUAUUCCUCGUUACUUCUUUUUGGUUCAUGCAAGAAACAGAAAAGCUCCAAAGUUUCUCUUUUAGACACAAAUCCCUCAGGAUUUUGUCACUUAAAAACUGGGGGGAGUAAAAAAAGAAAGACAGUAAUGAGGGAAAAGUGACGAAGUUUUGUUAAAAGCCUACAGGUUUUCAUGGAAAAUAAAGUGAUGGGAAAUGAGAGGUGUUUGAUAGAUGGGCUAAUUUCCCUACCUGACAACCCAGACAGUGUGAUACAAAAAAAGCCCACCAUGUUUGGGUUUGUUGUUUUGUUUUGCAUCCCCUCUAUGUGUGUGUAUAUGCAUGCCUUCAGAAGGGAAGAUGCUACUUUUACAUAUUAAUGCAUGCAUGUAUCUCUACCAUCCAUUAGCAAAACUAUCUGGAAAAAGGGAAGAGGUUUAUAUAUUUAUUUUUUUCCCCCCAGCAUUUGUAAGCUGAAGGCAAUUAAAAACAUCACAGAG
rnacentral:lncRNA from 7 species